UACGAAGGGGGCUAGCGUUGUUCGGAUUUACUGGGCGUAAAGCGCACGUAGGCGGAUCGAUCAGUCAGGGGUGAAAUCCCAGAGCUCAACUCUGGAACUGCCUUUGAUACUGUCGAUCUGGAGUAUGGAAGAGGUGAGUGGAAUUCCGAGUGUAGAGGUGAAAUUCGUAGAUAUUCGCAAGAACACCAGUGGCGAAGGCGGCUCACUGGCCCGGUACUGACGCUGAGGUGCGAAAGCUAGGGUAGCAAACGGG
rnacentral:rRNA from 1 species